rnacentral:misc_RNA from 1 species
UGGCUCUCGCAUCGAUGAAGAACGCAGCGAAAUGCGAUAAGUAAUGUGAAUUGCAGAAUUCAGUGAAUCAUCGAAUCUUUGAACGCACCUUGCGCCUCUUGGUAUUCCGAGAGGCAUGCCUGUUUGAGUGUCAUUAAUCUAUCAAAUCCGAAAGGUUUUGGAAUGUGGGGGUCUGCAGGUCUUUCACGGAUCUGCUCCUCUUGAAAUGCAUUAGCGGCGAUACCCUUGAAUGUAGCCCAGCGUGAUAAUUAUCAUCGUUGCAUGCUCAAUCAUUAUGGCGUCUGCUCACAACCGUCGAAAAGACAACACUUGACGAUUUGACCUCAAAUCAGGUAGGACUACCCGCUGA